rnacentral:rRNA from 1 species
UAAACGAAAGUUUGACUAAGCCAUGUUAACAAAGAGCUGGUAAAUUUCGUGCCAGCCACCGCGGUCAUACGAUUAGCCCGAAUCAAUAGGCAAACGGCGUAAAACGUGUUAAGGAUUAUAUUAUACUAAAGUUAAAAUUUGACAAGGCUGUAAAAAGCUACUGUUAAUAUAAGAUAAACCACGAAAGUGACUUUAUUACUUCCAUCAACACGAUAGCUGAGACCCAAACUGGGAUUAGAUACCCCACUAUGCUCAGCCCUAAACAUAAAUAAUUAUCACAACAAAAUUAUCUGCCAGAGAACUACUAGCAAUAGCUUAAAACUCAAAGGACU